AUGCACGCUGGCGGCGUGCCUAAUACAUGCCAGUCGAGCGAACGGACGAGAAGCUUGCUUCUCUGAUGUUAGCGGCGGACGGGUGAGUAACACGUGGAUAACCUACCUAUAAGACUGGGAUAACUUCGGGAAACCGGAGCUAAUACCGGAUAAUAUUUUGAACCGCAUGGGUCAAAAGUGAAAGACGGGCUUGCUGUCACUUAUAGAUGGAUCCGCGCUGCAUUAGCUAGUUGGUAAGGUAACGGCUUACCAAGGCAACGAUGCAUAGCCGACCUGAGAGGGUGAUCGGCCACACUGGAACUGAGACACGGUCCAGACUCCUACGGGAGGCAGCAGUAGGGAAUCUUCCGCAAUGGGCGAAAGCCUGACGGAGCAACGCCGCGUGAGUGAUGAAGGUCUUCGGAUCGUAAAACUCUGUUAUUAGGGAAGAACAUAUGUGUAAGUAACUGUGCACAUCUUGACGGUACCUAAUCAGAAAGCCACGGCUAACUACGUG
rnacentral:rRNA from 1 species